rnacentral:lncRNA from 1 species
GGGAACAGUAGAAUCAACAGCAAUCAAGACUGGCAAGCCAACAUACUGGCCACCAUAAAACUGAAAAGAGAGCUUAUUGUACCUCACGCACAGCAGCAGGUUUAACAGAAAAGUAGACAUGUUUAUAGUCCCAGAUUUACAGCACACCUUAUAAACACCUUAUUACUUAGAAUCCAGUCUGCUGUCCCAGAAACUAAGAAUGUGACUUUGUUAAGCAGUAGGAUUUGUUGACAUAAAUGUCUUGACUAAGUUUGCCAUUGUGGUUAACCAAAACGCAUUUACUCCUGGGAAAGUAAACACAAGCAAACAAAAUGCCUCUUAUACUACAAUACGGAAGAUUCCUUUUUAAUAGACAUUACAGGUUUGUCAGGUUUGUCUGAGAAGAACAAGCAAUGGGGAAAGGAUUCCCUAUUUAAUAAAUGGUGCUGGGAAAACUGGCUAGUCAUAUGUAGAAAGCUGAAACUGGAUCCCUUCCUUACACCUUAUACAAAAAUUAAUUCAAGAUGGAUUAAAGACUUAAACGUUAGACCUAAAACCAUAAAAACCCUAGAAGAAAACCUAGGCAUUACCAUUCAGGACAUAGGCAUGGGCAAGGACUUCAUGUCUAAACUACCAAAAGCAAUGGCAACAAAAGCCAAAAUUGACAAAUGGGAUCUCAUUAAACUAAAGAGCUUCUGCACAGCAAAAGAAACUACCAUCAGAGUGAACAGGCAACCUACAAAAUGGGAGAAAAUUCUCGCAACCUACUCAUCUGACAAAGGGCUAAUAUCCAGAAUCUACAAUGAACUCAAACAAAUUUACAAGAAAAAAACAAACAACCCCAUCAAAAAAUGGGCAAAGGAUAUGAACAGACACUUCUCAAAAGAAGACAUUUAUGCAGCCAACAGACACAUGAAAAAAUGCUCAUCAUCACUGGCCAUCAGAGAAAUACAAAUCCAAACCACAAUGAGAUAUCACACCAGUUAGAAUGGCAAUCAUUAAAAAGUCAGGAAACAACAGGUGCUGGAGAGGAUGUGGAGAAAUAGGAACACUUUUACACUGUUGCUGGGACUGUAAACAAGUUCAACCAUUGUGGAAGUCAGUGUGGCGAUUCCUCAGGGAUCUAGAACUAGAAAUACCAUUUGACCCAGCCAUCCCAUUACUGGGUAUAUACCCAAAGGACUAUAAAUCAUGCUGCUAUAAAGACA